rnacentral:rRNA from 1 species
AGGACGAACGCUGGCGGCGUGCUUAACACAUGCAAGUCGAGCGAGGCCCGUCCUUCGGGACGGUGCCCUAGCGGCGAACGGGUGAGUAACACGUGGGCAACCUGCCCCUAGCACUGGGAUAACUCCGGGAAACCGGGGCUAAUACCGGAUAUGACCUCCGAGGGCAUCCUUGGUGGUGUAAAGGAUUCUGGCUAGGGAUGGGCCCGCGGCCUAUCAGCUUGUUGGUGGGGUAAUGGCCUACCAAGGCGACGACGGGUAGCCGGCCUGAGAGGGCGACCGGCCACACUGGGACUGAGACACGGCCCAGACUCCUACGGGAGGCAGCAGUGGGGAAUAUUGCACAAUGGGCGAAAGCCUGAUGCAGCGACGCCGCGUGAGGGAUGACGGCCUUCGGGUUGUAAACCUCUUUCAGCAGGGACGAAGCGAAAGUGACGGUACCUGCAGAAGAAGCACCGGCCAACUACGUGCCAGCAGCCGCGA